CGGGUUCGCGGAGUGCGAGUCUAUGGCGUCGGCGGCGGUUUGGGUAGUUCCGGGGAGAGCGUGGGGAGUGGCGUGGGCCCCUGCGCUCCGUGGGCCGCCGCGAUACUCACCCGAGCUCCCUAGCUGGGUCAACUCUGCUGGACCGGUCCGGACGACAGGCUCUGAUAGGCUUCGUCUUGGGCGGUGACCUCUUGACUGCCCGUCCGUUUAUGACAUGAUUGUGUGUAGAAGUUCCUAAGGAAUCUCCAGAACUUACAUUAGAGCUAAUGAGUGAAUUAAGAAGGCCACAGGAUGCAAGAUCCUGAAGGAAAACACAUCUUUCUCAUGGGUUCUUUUUGAGGAUUAACGGAUAAUGUGUACGGGGCCUGGCACAUCGCAGUUCGGGGCAGAAUGAGAGCACGUGUGCAUUCCGUGCACUGGAGUUUAAAUCUCGGCUCUUGCUAAGACACAAAGUGGCUUAUGCGGGCCUCUCACUGUUGUGGCCUCAGAGCACAGGCUCCGGACGCGCAGGCUCAGCGGCCAUGGCUCACAGGCCCAGCCACUCCGCGGCAUGUGGGAUCCUCCCGGACCGGGGCACAAACCCGUGUCCCCUGCAUCGGGGACUCUCAACUACUGCGCCGCCAGGGAAGCCCAGACUAGCUACUUUUAAAUGAUUCCAAGCAGAGCACUUCUGAAAAUGAGAAAAUGGAAUCUUGGAACGGAUAAGUCAGCCAGCUUGUAUGACAGAGCUGAACUCCAGAGCCCGUAAUCUUAACUACCGUACAGAGAAAUGAGACUUUUACAGGUGUCUAUUGUGGUGUGUGUUUUUAGGAAAGUCUGUUUAGGGCCCAAAGCAGUGGUGUGUGGAAAAUAUUCAACAACCAGCCCUCCAAAAAGAAACUGUAGGCAAGUAUAUAUGUACAUCUGUUUAUUAUAAUUUUUACUGACCCAAAGGAGACGCCCACAUAAUUUACAAAUAAUAAUAAAAGAUAUAUAUUCUUUAUCUUAAUUCCAUAACCUAUAACUUCAGUGUGACUUGCUAUUUCUUGCAAAAUGCAACCUAUACUUCUACUGCUCAAAAACAAUGUAACAAAAUCAGAUGAUGAAUAAAUGCUAGAUUACUGUCUAAUCAGCAAAGAAAUUAUUCAUACUGUCAGAAAAAGGGUAGUUUCAACAUGAAUGUUGGUUGAUAAUUUUGUUUGGGCUAAUGAGUCAGAUGGAAGUGAAACAAUAAGAUGUAUGUCAAUGAAAAUAAGUGGAGGAAGCCAACUUUUUUAAGACAUUACUACUAUUUAGCAGAGGCAUAAGUGUAUUAAAUACAGUAGGUUUCUAGAAUAUGCUCCCAGAUACAAGAAGUAUUCCUUAAUUUUUUAUCGUGGUAAAGUGAAAUAUACAUAACAUAAAAUUUACCAUCUUAACCAUUUAUAAGUGUACAAUUCAGUGGCAUUAAGUACAUUCACAUUGUUGUACAAUCAUCACCACUAUUUAUCCUCAGAAUUCCUUCAUCACCCCAAACUAGAACUCUGUACCCCAUGAAACAGUAACUCCCUAUUCACCCCUCUCCAGGUCCCCAGAAACCACAAUUCUACUUUCUUUCUAUAUGAACUUGCCUAUUCUAGGUACCUCAUAUAAGUGGAAUCAUAUAAUAGUUGUCCUUUGGGGUCUGGCUUAUUUCACUUAGCAAAAUGUUGUAGCAUGUGUCUGAAUUACAUUCCUUUUAAGGCUGUAUAAUAUUCCAUCAUAUGUGUAUAUCAUAUUUUAUUCAUCAUUCAUUUACCAGUGGACAUUUGGGUUGUUUCCACCUGUUGGCUAUUGUGAAUAAUGCUGCUAUAAACAUUGGUGUACAAAUAUUGAUUUGAGUCUUUGCUUUCAAUUUUUGGGGGUAUAUACCCAAAAGUGGAAUUGCUGGAUCAUAUGGUAAUUCUAUGCUUAAUUUUUUGGAAGAAGUAUCUUACUGUUUUCCAGUGCCAUCCUUUUAUUUGUUUGUUUAAGUUUACUCUCACUCUGUGUUCUGCCAUUAUCCUGGGGAACUUCAAGUUUCUAACAUCUCCUUUGCUUCCACCCAUGCUCCGAUCACAUAUUAUAUCUCAUUUAUUAAUGUCUCAAACUCUUACUAUUCUCUCCAUCAUUACAAACUUAGAUUCCAAACACAGUCUAAGGCUUAGCUUGAUUUCCAAGUAUAGCAGAGACAGAUCAAUGAUUGAAGAAUGACUCUGUCUGGUAAUAUUCAAUACAUGCAUUAUAACUUAUUAAAUUUUUUUAUAUAAAAACAAAUUUAUACCUUGUGAACAAGAAACAAAAAUUCCUUCUAGGAGACAGACUGUGAGCCAGUGGGAAACACAACUCACAGUACAAACAAGUGACAAAUGACAAUAAUGCUAUGUGAUAUAUACACUUCACUAGUAGGAAAUGCAAAAUUUCAAGGGAAGUUAAAAGAUGGAGAAAUUUACUCUUCUUUGAGGAAGAAUACCUAGCUGA